GGGCCCGCACAAGCAGUGGAGUAUGUGGUUUAAUUCGAAGCAACGCGAAGAACCUUACCAGGGCUUGACAUACUAAGUAAUAAUAUAGAGAUAUAUUAGCCCUUCGGGGACUUAGAACAGGUGGUGCAUGGUUGUCGUCAGCUCGUGUCGUGAGAUGUUGGGUUAAGUCCCGCAACGAGCGCAACCCCUGCCGUUAGUUGGUAACAGUAAGAUGACCACUCUAACGGGACUGCCGGUGACAAAUCGGAGGAAGGUGGGGACGACGUCAAAUCAUCAUGCCCCUUAUGUCCUGGGCAACACACGUACUACAAUGGCUACUACAGAGGGAAGCGAAGCCGUAAGGAAGAGCAAACCCCAAAAAGUAGUCCCAGUUCGGAUUGUGGGCUGAAACCCGCCCACAUGAAGUCGGAAUUGCUAGUAAUGGCAGGUCAGCAUACUGCCGUGAAUACGUUCCCGGGCCUU
rnacentral:rRNA from 1 species